rnacentral:pre_miRNA from 1 species
CUAUUACUCCCUCGGUCCCAAAAUUCUUGUCUUAAUUUUGUCUAGAUACGGAUGUAUCUAAUACUAAAACGUGACUUGAUACAUCCAUAUUUAGACAAAUCUAAGACAAGAAUUUUGGGACGGAGGGAGUAUUUC